AUUGAACGCUGGCGGAAUGCUUUACACAUGCAAGUCGAGCGGCAGCGCGGGGGCAACCCUGGCGGCGAGCGGCGAACGGGUGAGUAACAUAUCGGAACGUACCCUGUCGUGGGGGAUAACUAUCCGAAAGGAUAGCUAAUACCGCAUACGACCUGAGGGUGAAAGCGGGGGACCGCAAGGCCUCGCGCGAUAGGAGCGGCCGAUAUCGGAUUAGCUAGUUGGUGAGGUAAAGGCUCACCAAGGCGACGGUCCGUAGCGGGUCUGAGAGGACGACCCGCCACACUGGAACUGAGACACGGGUCCAGACUCCUACGGGAGGCAGCAGUGGGGAAUUUUGGACAAUGGGGGCAACCCUGAUCCAGCCAUUCCGCGUGAGUGAAGAAGGCCUUCGGGUUGUAAAGCUCUUUCAGCAGGAACGAAACGGUGAGGGUUAAUACCCUUUACUAAUGACGGUACCUGAAGAAGAAGCACCGGCUAACUACGUGCCAGCAGCCGCGGUAAAGUGUGACUG
rnacentral:rRNA from 1 species